rnacentral:rRNA from 1 species
UGGCCGUUCAGGUCCGUCGGGAAAUCCACUGGCUUAACCAGUGGGCGUCCGGCGGAAACCGUUCGGCUUGGGACAGGGAGACCAGAGGGGUACGUCCGGGGUAGGAGUGAAAUCCCGUAAUCCUGGACGGACCAUCGGUGGCGAAAGCGCCUCUGGAGAACUGAUCCGACAGUGAGGGACGAAAGCUGGGGUCUCGAACCGGAUUAGAUACCCGGGUAGUCCCAGCCGUAAACGAUGCUCGCUAGGUGUGUCGCAGGCUACGAGCCUGCGAUGUGCCGUAGGGAAGCCGAGAAGCGAGCCGCCUGGGAA